CUCUCAUAAUACUCGUCUUUCAUGCAACUGUUUGUUUAUAUAGUUUUAAGUUUUCACUUCUGUCAGCAGUCCUCAUGACUACUUUGAAAUUUUUUCUUUUUGUUACGUAGUCUGGUGAGAAGAGGGGGCAGAGACAAAAGAGGAAAAAGGUCAACAGUGGUGCCGUAUUCCUUAAGCCACAACAAGCUAAAACAUUAAUCACAUCACUGCUCCUCUACUGCUAUACGGAGGGACAAGAUCAUACGGUGCUCCCCGCCGGGACGGGGGCAGCCCAGCGCCUCGCCGCCCGCCUCCGCCUCCAGGAACUUGCGCCCGGCCCGCAGCAGGUCCCAGGCCUCGCCGGGGGCGUUGCCCAGGGAGCCCUCGCACCGCGCCGCCGCGAUCCAGCACAGCCCCGCGUACUGGGGCAGGUCCUCCCGCUCGCACCGGGCCGCCAGCUGGCCUGAGCGCACACGGGGGGCCACGGGGGGACACCCAUCCACCUGCAAACCACAAACGCUGCAGGCAGACGGGCGUGUGUCUUCUGGCGGUCGGAAGAUGGGAAGG